rnacentral:rRNA from 1 species
UACGAAGGGUGCAAGCGUUACUCGGAAUUACUGGGCGUAAAGCGUGCGUAGGUGGUUCGUUAAGUCUGAUGUGAAAUCCCGCGGCUCAACCGUGGAACUGCCUCAGAUACUGGCGGCCUCGAGGGAGGUAGGGGCGAGCGGAACUAAUGGUGGAGCGGUGAAAUGCGUUGAUAUCAUUAGGAACUCCGGUGGCGAAGGCGGCUCGCUGGACCUUUUCUGACGCUGAGGCGCGAAAGCUAGGGGAGCAAACGGG